AGAAUCAACGCUGGCGGCGUGCCUAACACAUGCAAGUCGAACGAGAAAGUGGAGCAAUCCAUGAGUAAAGUGGCGCACGGGUGAGUAACACGUGACUAACCUACCUUUUAGUGGGGGAUAACCUAGGGAAACCUGGGCUAAUACCGCAUAAUACCUACGGGUCAAAGCAGCAAUGCGCUGAAAGAGGGGGUCGCGGUCGAUUAGUUAGUUGGCAGGGUAAUGGCCUACCAAGACUGUGAUCGAUAUCCGGCCUGAGAGGGCGCACGGACACACUGGAACUGAAACACGGUCCAGACUCCUACGGGAGGCAGCAGUGGGGAAUUUUGCGCAAUGGGGGAAACCCUGACGCAGCAACGCCGCGUGGAGGAUGAAGUCCCUUGGGACGUAAACUCCUUUCGAUCGGGACGAUAAUGACGGUACCGGAAGAAGAAGCCCGGCUAACUUCGUGCCAGCAGCCGC
rnacentral:rRNA from 1 species